rnacentral:lncRNA from 1 species
UUUUUUUUUUUUUUUUUUUUUUUUCCUGACUGCUGUUGCCCUUUAGAGAAGAGAAUAGCAUGCACGAAUGACAAGACAGCCCCGUAGAUGGAUUCAGACCUCUAGAAGCACUGUUUCCUCUCUUUUUCCAUCCUAAGAGUCUUCCGUGGGAUGGCAAGGGGAAAACUAGCUGACCCACUGCUUGCAGGAAAGUGGGGGGAAAGUGGCUCAGGCCAUUCUAUUUACACCUCAAAGGAGGGGGUGACCCCAGCUAGACUGAGGCCCCUCACAUAUGACAUAAUACUCAGGACCACUUCAGGAGGUAGGUAGACAGAGACGGAAACCGAGGUUAUGGAGGGGAGGUCAUUUGCUCAUCAUCACAUUGGCAGCAAGCAGGAAGCCAGCAUUCCGCUCCAGGUCUGACUCUAAAACCCCUGCUGUGGUUGGUUGUGUUAUAUUUCUGAUCAUGUCAAAACCCUUUCGUGGAUGCCAUCGCCUCUGAAUAAAGGGCCAGCUCCCCAGCCCAGCAUUUAAGAUCUUCCUUAAUCUGGAAACCACAAGCUUUUCUAAUCUUACCAUGAGGACUCUUAAAAGUACAAAUUGGAGGAAUUUCUCUGGGACUGCGGUUCUUGUUCUUGAGCCAUGCUUUUCUUUCUGUCUUUUUUUUUUCUUUUUUCUUUGUAGGGCCGCUCCUGCAGCAUAUGGAAGUUCCCAGGCUAGGGGUCGAAAUGGAGCUGCAGCUGCCGGCCUACACCACAGCCACAGCAAUGUCAGAUUCCACUGGAUCGGAUGAACACAGCUCACCGCAACAUUGGAUCCUUAACCCACUAAGUGGGGGCAGGGAUCAAACCCACAUACUCAUGUAUACUAGUCGGGUUCCUAGUUGCUAUUUGCUGUUUACUACUGAGCCACAAUGGGAACUCCUUGAACCAUGCUUUUCUAGGAACCUGUGUUCCUCUCUGCAGACCAGCCUCACUGACUGGGCCUUGGCAGAGAGAGGCUAAAUCACCUCUCGCUUUGGGGAACAUUUUUGUGUUUUUGCUGCCCAACUCCUGUGCCACUGAGUUGGGUCUGUGUGCCAGGGCACCUGCCUGUUACCAUUUGCUGGGCCUCUCUGAUGCUGCCAUCUGUCUUCCUACUGAGAUUUCCACCUCGCCCUUGCCAACACAUUCCCCUCAUACUUGGUUCCGCUUGGCUGCCUGAAUUUACAUUGCUCUUUGAUGGGUCUUCCCUCAAGUUCCAGUCACACCCUAAUUGAUUGGUCUAGUUUUGAGGUUCUGGCCAUCUCUGUCCGCUCCCAUAACAGAAUGAGACACGUUUUGUGCAGCAGAUGGGCUCACGUUCGUGGGAGAGGUGGCCACACCAGCCUGAAGGGAGUGACGAUGGUGGAGGGAAGGGGAGCGGGGAGGUGAUCUAUAAUGUCCUUAAUACUUGUGCGAGGUGGGGACCGUCAGAGCAAAAGAAGAUUGAGUCAGAGAGUAAACUUAAGUCACAUAAGCUUUCAGUUGUUACCUUCUCAUUUUUCUGCCUGAUCUAAGAAAUGGCUCUUGGGACCUAAUUCACAUAUGGUCAGCCUUGCAGCCCAAGCUGGCUGCUGCCACAUGUAAGCCACCUUCUGUGAAGUGAGAACCAAGUCACCUCCACCUUGGCAGACUUAGAAGUUUCUGCUUUAUGACCCUGUCUGUGCUAAGGGGACUGUGACUCAUAAAACACCGCCCAUAGAAAACUCACAACAGAAAACACAUAAUUUAAUUUCUACCGGUCAUUUUGGAAACUAUGUAUAAGCUUGCUAAACCAAACGUAUUAUAUCCCAGGUCUUUUUUUCUAGUCAGUUACCAGGAGUAAUAUUACUGAUAAAGCUAAGAAAUGUAUGAAGAUCAUAGAAAUGCCUGAGUUAUUAAAGCUGCCGGUAUGAGUUAUACAUGGAUGACUUACGUCCCUGACUUGAUAUCUUUUCCUUUAUUACUAUGAGUAGUGGACAUUUAAUACUGCUUUCUAAGAAAGAAUACUGACACUACAAAGAUAGUAAAACAUAAUAGCAAUUGUUCUUAAUGAAGAAAAAAAGUAGUACCAUCACUGAAAGAAAGCAGGAAUGCUAGCUUUUCUUUUUUUUCUCAGUCAAUCAUUCGUACAUUCAUACCAUGAAAUAGGAAAUGAAAAUUCACUAGAUCUCUAGUUUGCCAUAUAUGCUUAUGGGUAUUAGCCAUAUACCAAAUAAUAACACACAAAUAGAAAGCCUAGCUUCAAUGAUGAAACUUUUAUAAAGGCAGAAUUAUAAUCACAAAAUCACACUUGUUUUUGUUAUAUAAAAUAGGUCAUUUGUAUGCGGUAGGUUGAGGAUGCUUGAGGGUUUGCAUUAGCUAACUGAAAAUAAUUUUUAAAGUGAAAUAUUUGUAUCUAGUGUAAAUAAAUAAAUGUUUUAUUAAUGAGCUGUUGUAGUAACUUAAACAUUUUAAAACACAGCAAGUGAAUGGAAAGGGCAGCAGAUGAAGACACAUGUCUAAUAUUCAUGGUAAAUAUUUGUUCAUCUUUCUCCUGUUUGUUGUAUUGUAUGACAAGAACCUGAUGUUGUGGAAUGAUGGAAUAAUUCUUGAGGGGUCUUUCUAAGAAAAGCAGGAUUUGGCAGCUGCUUCGUAAAUGGAACCUGUAUUCCUUCUUUUUCUUUAAAAUGUGUUUCAAAGAACUGUCCAUUAAGACUCUUUGUAAAAGGAAAGCGUUCUUAAGUUCUAGAAGUGUCACUUUCUGAAAAGGAAGUAUGCUAACAAUGAUAUAAGUUCUCUGAGAGUCAAAAUUAUGUUAGAACUUACGGUAUCUCCUGGCACAGUUUGUAAUAACAGUUCAAAAAAUAUUUAUUGAAUAGGAUGGGAUCAUUUGCACCAGUGUCAGCUGAUGAAAUGAGACCAAAUUUCUGAACUUUGUACAGAGGCUGAGUUUGGAUAAACUUUAAGAGGAAAUUCUUCUAAGGGUCUAUACAAGGGUGCUAAUUUGGACAAUUCCUUAAUUAAUCAUACAGAGUACAACGGCAAAUGCGGUACAGGAUGUACACUUAUGGCAUGGGAUGAAAAUGAUAUGAUCAGGGCUUUCUUAGGGUUUGCUGCAGCCGCCAAGAAGUUCCUGUUUCAGUGAUUCUCCCAGGAACCAAGGGCCUUUGCUGAGUAUGGCCACAGAAAUUGUUGGCUGAGAGCUGGGUUGUUUCAUCAGUGAACAGGAAAGAAGAUGGUAACACCCAUUUUUUUUUCUCUCCACCCACAAUUCAAACAAAAAUCUGAUUAUCUUCAGUGAUCUACCCUCCUCUGUUUGCCCUUGUGCUUCAGAACAGAGUUGCCCCAGGCACAGGGAAGGCAUCUUGACUGCUUUAAACUAGUCAUGCAGAACCAUACCCUUACCAAUACCCCAGACACACAACAGUAUGUGACUGGGUUCUAGCUAAUGGAUCAGAAGGGAUAACCAGAUGCCAAACUUCUAGGCGAGGUUUCUUUCAUCAUAAGGGGGAUCCAAGGAAAGAAUAAUUUCUUCCUUCUCUAGAAGUGAUAAUUGUCUGUCAUGCUUGGAUUUGCAUAGUCAUCUUGGGAUCAGAAGAAGGUGUAACCCAAGGGCAUUAGCUGACACAUGGUAUAUAUCAGAAGAGUAAGGUGGAAAAAGAACUGAUUCCUUGAUAUCAUUGCUGAGUGGAUGGAUUGCUAUUUUUGGAAUUACUGUUCUGUGAAAUAUUAUAUUUACUUAUAUCUUUAUUGUUGUGGCACUUUGAAUUGAAUUUUCUAAUUUGCAUAGGAUUGCUGGAAUUAGCACAUAAAAAUGUAAGAUGCACAGUUAAAUUUGAAUUUCAGAUAAACGAUGAAUAAUAUUUUAGUACGGGUAUGUCCAAUGUGAUACUUGUUCCAUGUAAUAUUUGAGACAGCCUUAUGCCAAAAAAUUAUUUGCUGUUGAUCUGAAAUUCAAAUCUAACCGGGCACCCUGCAUUUUAGUUGCCAACCUUAAACUUGUAGAAGCCUAGCUAAUUCAGUGCUGAAAAGUUUUUCUUAUGUCCUCCUGGAUAUACUCUUUCACAUGUAAACAGUCAAAGUGGAUUCACCAGUCAAAGUCUGAGGAUACAUAUAUUUGAAAUUCAGCCUCAUAUGCUCGAGAACUAACAAAAGAUGACUAUUUUUCUUCUUGAGGCUUGUCAGUGAAUUCCCACCCAGAUUUAAAAUAUUAUUGUAAUGCAGGUGAACAGUGGAGAUCUUAGAAUCUCAUUUCCUGCACUUACUACCUGUAUGGCCCUGGAGAAAUCAACCCUCCAAGUCUCGGUAUCCGGCUAUGUCAUUAUGAGGAAUUGAUAAGCUACUUAAUGAGCAGCACUUAUUAUGUCAGGCACAUAAUCCUUGAUCAGAACAUAUUAGGUCUCUUUCCUGUGUUGAUUGGGAAGAACUGGUGUAGGUGUGUUGUAAAGGUAUUUUACGAAGAAGCCACAGAAACUCAGUCGUCCUACCAAAUACCUACGCAGCUCCUUCCCUCUGCACAACUUGAGCAGAAUGGGUGCAGUAAGGGAGGGACAUAGGAGCUGCCUUGUGGGAUGAAAAACUUGUAUUGCCUUGCUGCUUAGCUAGCUGAGUCUUGCUCCAGGCUCGAGGAGCAACACCUAUGAGACUGCUUAUACAGAGUAGUGGCUACUGUUUUUAAACUGAAAAGAAGGGUUUUGCAUUUCUGGAAGGACAGGGGCCCAUCUUAUUCUUAGUAUUUUCAGCAUGUGGCACAGUCAGGGCCCCACACACAAAGAUACUUCGUAAAGCCUCCAUGGCCACAGAAUUGGGUUUCUACUUCAUGGGCAAUGAACAGACCAUGCCACCUUCCUAAUGCGCUAGUCUAUGUUCAAACUGUCAUGCUCAUUUGGGGAUUUUUUCUAUCCUACUUUUUAUUUAUUUAUUUUUUUGUCUUUUUGUCUUUUCGCCUUUUUCUAGAGCCGCUCCCACGGCAUAUGGAGGUUCCCAGACUAGGGGCCUAAUCGGAGCUAUAGCUGCUGGCCUACACCAGAGCCACAGCAACUUGGGAUCCGAGCCGCAUCUGUGACCUACACCACAGCUCAACAUCGGAUCUUUAACCCACUGAGCAAGGCCAGGGAUCGAACCCGCAACCUCAUGGUUCCUAGUCGGAUUCGUUAACCACUGUGCCACGACGGGCACUCCUUUUCUAGGCUGCCUUUGGGCACACAAAAAAAGUUCUCCUCAGAGAGAAAGAUGAAGAGCUGAUAGAAUGACAACUGUGAUAUCAAGUGUUCCCGUGCUCCUAUAAUUCUGGAGAAGAGAAGAACCAGCCCUGGAGGGAAGAGCAGCUGCCCUCAAGGAGUUGAAGGACGGUCAGAUGGGAGAAGGAUCGCUCAGGCUGUGGACUCCAAAAGGCAGAACUAGAACUCGAAUUGAGUGGUACAAGUCAACGCAAGGUGUGGUCAGGUGUAAGCAGUCAGAACUACCCAGGUCCACAAGGCCUCAAGUGUGUCGAGGUCUCCUCUGCUGAAAUACUGAUUCCCACACUCUGAUAACUAUUCUUCAGGAAUAUGAGAGCCGAGAUGCAGCUGUUUUUUUCUUCACUUAUAAAAUAGGAAUAAUCCCAGGUUAUUAACUCACAGGUGAGGAAUUUGAUCCAGGUAAACCAGAAGAUACCCCUUUGCUAGUUUUCAGGCCUCUGUAAAGGGUUAGUUGACGUCAUUUUCAAACUUUGCUGCGGAUGAGAAUUACCUUGCAAAUUUUGGAAAAUCUGGAUGCCCAAGCCACAUCUGCAAAGAUGCUACUUUAUUGGUAUAAGGUAUGGUUGGAUCAUUAGGAUCUGUCCAAAACUCCCCAAGUGGUUCUAAUGUACAGCAAUUUUGAGAAUCACCAAACUAGUUAGAGAGUAUGACUCUGUAUUUUAGUUUGGAAUCUGAUUUAACUAGAGAUGUAACCUUGAGCAACUCUUUUAAUUUCGAUUGUUUCCGCAUUCUUUAUUUACUAAAAAGGGAGUGGAGGGGCAAAUGUACUUCUGAAGCAUCUUCCUCUAAAAUUUUAUGAUUCUAGAGCCAUGAGUUUCCUUCGUGGUGCAGCGGAAACGAAUCUGACUAGGAACCAUGAGGUUGCGGGUUCCAUCCCUGGCCUCGCUCAGUGGGUUAAAGAUCUGGCGUUGCCCUGAGCUGUGGUGUGGGUCACAGAUGCAGCUCAGGUCUGGCGUUGCUGCGGCUGUGGUAUAGGCCGGCGGGUACAGCUCCGAUUCAACCCCCAGCCUGGGAACCUCCAUAUGCCACAGGUGCAGCCCUAAAAAG